UAAAAAUAUAAAAUGACCAAACUACUAAGAAGAAAUUAUAGUCUAAUACAUAAUCUAAACAUAAAACUUCCACAGUCAGAGAGAAAAAGUAAAAUACCAUAGUAACACUACCUCAAUAAAGGUUUGGAGCUGAAAAAGAUCAACAAAUAAGACUAAUCUAACUCAUCUUAUCAUAUAAUGUAUUGGCUAGAACAAGCAGAUGUCAGAAAAAGGUAAAAAAAUAAAAUAUGAGACCAAGCAAUCCCCAGAACACAAAAGAUCGCGAUCAAGCACCAGCGCAAAAAACCAAAAAAAGCGAGUCAAAGAAAGAAUAAUCAUCGGUAAAGUCACUACGAAACGAAAAGACGCAUGUCUAAAGCAUCGGAAACACAGCCACUAGCUAAGAGAUAAGAAGCACCUUGCAAACUAAACAAGCACAUACAAGGCGCUCAUGCCAGCGAAGAACCACAAAACUCUGAAUAGAAAAAACCAAAGCUCCAAAAGACUAACUCCGCACACCUACACCAAGUGAUGCAUCAGAAGAAGAUAAACAACCUGAAUGGGGAAGAAUGGAAGCCAACCACCAAAAAACCAAAGUUUAAGCUUGAGACCAUAAACAACCUUCCAAGCGUACAAAACAUACACAGAGAAAAACACUAUCCAAACCUGGAGUAGCAAAUAUGGCGAAAGGGAGAGCCACAAGAGACAUGAUCAGCGAUAAAAGGUGCAACGAAAUGAGAGAACAAAAAGAUGAAAAGAGACAAAAUGAAAUCAACAAACCGUGGAGCCAUCCUCGAGCUAUGAAAAAGAGCAUAGAAGUCAGAUCACCAAAAACCCGAUCUUAAAAACCACGACGAGCAGAGACUAUUGACGGCAAACCAACGACGAAGAAAACAACAUCAAUGACAACUAAACUCUGACCCAACCCAACGAGAUGUAGUUUCUAACCUUAGCCAAAACCUAAGGAAAAAGAGGACCAAUAUUGACCGAAAUAACAUAGAACGCUAUAAAAAACAACCGCACAACAUGGAAUUAAUAUGUCUGAUCUAUAACAAAUACCAGAUAAUCUCACAGAAAAAAGAAGGUCGGGAAAGACAAAAGCACAUAUAAAAUACUACAUAACACAAUAAAAUACUAAAUCACGUUCUUCACAAAUAAAUACUAACC
rnacentral:lncRNA from 1 species